AUGGGAGGACAAAAUUGGAAAUCAUUAUGAGGAGAAAGGAGAGAUGUGGAAAUCGUUCAGAGGUCACAGGACAGUAGAGAUUUAGAAAUACUUAUGAGGAGACAGGAAAAGGGAGAUAUAAUUAAGUAUUUAUGAGAAGAGAGGAUAUAGGAGAGAUGUAGAAUUAAUAAUGCGGAAAGAGGAGGAGAGAUGUGUUAACAUUUGUGAGGAGACAGUAGGUAUUUUGGAAUACUUAGGCGUAGAGAGGGGAUAGCAGAGAAGAGAGAUUCCGAAAUCGUCAUCAGGAGAUAGGAGAGAAUUGGAAAUCGUUAUGAGGACAUAGGAGGAGAGAUCUCAACUUAAUUAAGACGAGCGAUGAGAGGCGAGAGAUUUGGAAAUAAUUAUGAGGAGAAAGGAGAGAUUUGGAAAUCAUUAGGCAGAGAGAGGUUAGAGGAAAGAUUUAGAAUUGAUUAUGUGGAGAUAGGAUGAGAGAUCUGGAAACAGUUUUGAGGUGAGAAGAGAGACUGUGGAAUACUAAACAGAAGAGAGGUGAGAGCAGAGAGCAGAGAUUUUGAAAUCGUUACGAGGACACAGGAGAUGGGAGAUUUCGCAAUCGGUAUGAGGAGAGAGGAUAGAGGAGAGAUUUAGAACUUACUAUGUGGAGAUAGGAUGAGAGAUUUCAAAACACUUGUGAGGAGAGGGGAGAGAUUGUGGAAUACAAAAGAGAAGAGGGGUGAGAGCAGAGAGGAGAGUUUUGGGAAUCUUUGUGAGCAGAUAGGAGAGAUUUGGAAAUCGGUAUCAGGACACAGGAGACGGGACAUUUCGAAAUACUUAUGAGGAGACAGGAUAGAGGAGAAAUUGAGAAGCAAUUAUGCGGAGAGAGGAGGAGAGAUUUGUAAACAUUUUUGAGGAGACAGUAGAGAUUCUGGAAUAC